AACGAACGCUGGCGGCAGGCUUAACACAUGCAAGUCGAACGCCCCGCAAGGGGAGUGGCAGACGGGUGAGUAACGCGUGGGAACGUGCCCUUCGCUUCGGAAUAGCCCCGGGAAACUGGGAGUAAUACCGGAUACGCCGUAUUGGGAAAGAUUUAUCGGCGAAGGAUCGGCCCGCGUUGGAUUAGCUAGUUGGAGGUGUAAUGGACCCCCAAGGCUACGAUCCAUAGCUGGUCUGAGAGGAUGAUCAGCCACACUGGGACUGAGACACGGCCCAGACUCCUACGGGAGGCAGCAGUGGGGAAUCUUGGAAAAUGGGCGCAAGCCUGAUCCAGCCAUGCCGCGUGAGUGAAGAAGGCCUUAGGGUUGUAAAACUCUUUCGCCGGAGAAGAUAAUGACGGUAUCCGGAGAAGAAGCCCCGGCUAACUUCGUGCCAGCCGCCGCGGUAAGAC
rnacentral:rRNA from 1 species